UACGUAGGUGACCAGCGUUGUCCGGAUUUACUGGGCGUAAAGAGCGCGCAGGCGGUCGUUCAAGUCGAGUGUGAAAGCCCCCGGCUCAACUGGGGAGGGUCACUCGAUACUGAUCGACUUGAAGGCAGGAGAGGGAAGCGGAAUUCCCGGUGUAGUGGUGAAAUGCGUAGAUAUCGGGAGGAACACCAGUGGCGAAGGCGGCUUCCUGGCCUGUUCUUGACGCUGAGG
rnacentral:rRNA from 1 species